AUUGAACGCUGGCGGCAGGCCUAACACAUGCAAGUCGAGCGGAUGAGUGGAGCUUGCUCCAUGAUUCAGCGGCGGACGGGUGAGUAAUGCCUAGGAAUCUGCCUGGUAGUGGGGGACAACGUUUCGAAAGGGACGCUAAUACCGCAUACGUCCUACGGGAGAAAGCAGGGGACCUUCGGGCCUUGCGCUAGCAGAUGAGCCUAGGUCGGAUUAGCUAGUUGGUGAGGUAACGGCUAACCAAGGCGACGAUCCGUAACGGGUCUGAGAGGAUGAUCAGUCACACUGGAACUGAGACACGGUCCAGACUCCUACGGGAGGCAGCAGUGGGGAAUAUUGGACAAUGGGCGAAAGCCUGAUCCAGCCAUGCCGCGUGUGUGAAGAAGGUCUUCGGAUUGUAAAGCACUUUAAGUUGGGAGGAAGGGCAGUAAGUUAAUACCUUGCUGUUUUGACGUUACCGACAGAAUAAGCACCGGCUAACUUCGUGCCAGCCGCCGCAGUAA
rnacentral:rRNA from 1 species